rnacentral:rRNA from 1 species
UGACUUAGCGGCGGACGGGUGAGUAACGCGUGGGCAACCUGCCUUACACAGGGGGAUAACAAUUAGAAAUGAUUGCUAAUACCGCAUAAGACCCCAGUACCGCAUGGUACAGGGGUAAAAACUGAGGUGGUGUAAGAUGGGCCCGCGUCUGAUUAGGUAGUUGGUGGGGGUAGAAGCCUACCAAGCCGACGAUCAGUAGCCGACCUGAGAGGGCGACCGGCCACAUUGGGACUGAGACACGGCCCAAACUCCUACGGGAGGCAGCAG